rnacentral:lncRNA from 1 species
UUCCAGAUCCGUAACGGGAGCAUUAUGAUUCUUUGAGUUUUAUAAAAAUAGAUGUCGUUUCUUUACGAUCAGUGCUUUACAGUUUUAUGGUAGCGAUCUUUUGAGCUUUCUUCUUACCAUGGUAUGUCAACACCCACUUCUGGUACUUUUUCUGCAACCACCGUAGAGAUUCCAAAGCGAGCUUCUAUUUAUGUAAAGGAGGUGCCUACUAAAUCUCCAACGAAAAGCACCUCCGUGUCUGAUAAUGGAGGAGACGAGACUGAUUUCCCAAUCACCACGACGGAAAUCAUUGUUUCAAGAUGCUCAGUGAGUUAAUGAAAAUUGCGAUCUGAAACAAUUCGAAAAGAAGGCAAAACAGAGUGGGAUUCAGUAAUAGUUGCUGGUUAGAUCCUCUAAAGCUCGAAUCUUUAUUUCAGUUAUGCAUUCAUGUUAUGUAAGCUUCUUUCUUUGGUUUUGUGAUAAGGUAUAAGGAGAUGAGUGAUUGAUUGUUCAAUGUGUGCUAUUGCUUUACUUAUAGAUGCAAAGAGGAGAAAGUGGCUU